rnacentral:sRNA from 1 species
UUUCGUCUGCAAACUGAGAGGAUGAGAAUCUCCGAAGGAGGUUUGAGCCGAACGCAGUGAGACCACGUUGCUUUAGCAACGGCCCGCAGGGCAAGCAUCGAAGAUGCGCAUAAUCCUCUCAUGCCGACCA